UGUGUAGCUGGCCUGCUUCAUCUGGGCCCAUUUUCUAUAAAAUACCAGCACCUUGUUGUACUGCUUACUAGUUUGUACCAUGAAGCUCUGGAUCCAUCUCCCAGUUCUACUUCUCAUUAUAUACCAAGGACUUCAGGCUGAAGCAGGAGUACGUGGGUAGGGAUUUGGAAAAUGAGAUUCUGAGACAUGUUGGUGAGGUCAUGUGCACAGAGAGAUCAGUAUGGAAUCAUAGUGGCAUCUGCAAUUGGAUAUGUGCCAAAGAGGUGCUUACUUCCUCCGCAAUUUGGACCUUGUAUAGGCAGAAAGCUUCGAUGGCAUUAUGACAGCAAAAUUUCUAAAUGUCGGGUAUUUCCCUAUGGAGGUUGCAAAGGCAAUACCAACAACUUUGAGACUGAAGAAAAAUGUAGGAAGAUCUGUAGAAAAUCCGGCCAUUGAGAAUACUCUGUUGUCUGGAAAAUACUCUGAAAAUAAAAGGCAUUUGUGAA